UAAACGCAGUUGACAGUGAGAGGACGUUUCUUUUUUUCCCUUAGUUUAUGUUCAGAUCAUUCCUGAGAGAGAAGGGGUGUAAUAUCUCCAGAUGGGCAUGUGGUACCCUUCCUCACCCAUGCCAACAAGAUGCUACUUCUUGUGGGGUCUUUGCCUUGAAAGAAAGUAUGAGAGUAUAAGUAAUGUACAAUUAACCUACUGAAAGUAUACUGACUAAAAGGCAAAACAGAACUGUCAAAUUAUAUUAUAGCUGUGUCGUUGUAUACCUGCGAAUUAGAAUCUUAAGUGUAACAUCAUUUUGUUGGGGAAAACUGAAAUGCCCAUCAAAUUUUUUCCCCAGUUUGCUGAAUGUGUUCUGAAGGAGUCGUCGAUAGUCUUUUCAAAUACGGACAAAGAUGUUAACAUCAUGAGAGAAGAAAUAGCAGUCACUCUCCUCCAAAACACUGGUUGGUUGUGACCGCUGCCCAUGAUGGUUCCACCAGUCCUGUAUGAAAACCAUCCCAUCAAUAGAGGAUUAUUAUCAUGACACAAGAUCUUCUCAGAAAUGAAUCAAGUCCAUGGAAUGGAUAUAGACAAAAAGAUAAUUCAAGGACUAGCGGAGGUAGAGAGGCGAGGCAGGGGUGAGGACAUCAUCCUGCUAUUUUGACAGUCCCUGAAGUACAAUACAGAAGAGGACUCGGGACCACAGCAGCAAUCCUGCUCUUGCCCUACCUCUUCAAUGAGGACCCGAGUGGCCUUUAUUGUCUGUGACAAGAUUUCACCACUUCCCACUUACUGCACAUCGGCGGAAAUCCAUUUCACCAUGAGAGUGAAAUCACUCUGGCCUUUGCUGGGGAGAACUUCCACGCCCUAGAGGACUUCCCCAUGGGACUUGGGGCUCUGUUAUGGCUGUAUUUUUUUAUUUUCCGUUAAAUUUCCCKAAAAUGUCAGAAAAAUACUUAUGUUCUUAAGUUACUGUGUUCUGGGGAUAAGAGAAGUUGGGGUGAAGUUACCAGGGCCAGUCAUAAAGAUGGCAAACUUCCUAACAUAUAACUAAGUGGUUGUUGGACACACACAUUAAAGCUAAAAAAUCUGUAUUUAGCAUCAAGUCUACAAUAUUGUUAGUUUACCUAUGAUUCAUUUUUCAUGUAUGUUGUUUUUAUUGUACAUUAUUUUAUUGAAAAUAAAAUGUAAUGAAAAGCACUAUACAA